rnacentral:rRNA from 1 species
UGGGGAAUAUUGCACAAUGGGCGGAAGCCUGAUGCAGCGACGCCGCGUGAGGGAUGAAGGCCUUCGGGUUGUAAACCUCUUUCAGCUCUGAAGAAGCGAAAGUGACGGUAGGAGCAGAAGAAGCACCGGCUAACUACGUGCCAGCAGCCGCGGUAAUACGUAGGGUGCGAGCGUUGUCCGGAAUUAUUGGGCGUAAAGAGCUUGUAGGUGGUUUGUCGCGUCUGCGGUGAAAACCCAACGCUUAACGUUGGGCUUGCCGUGGGUACGGGCAGACUAGAGUGUGGUAGGGGAGACUGGAAUUCCUGGUGUAGCGGUGAAAUGCGCAGAUAUCAGGAGGAACACCGAUGGCGAAGGCAGGUCUCUGGGCCAUAACUGACACUGAGAAGCGAAAGCAUGGGGAGCGAACAGG